GGAUGGAUACCCAAGUGGCCAAAGGGAGCAGACUGUAAAUCUGCCGCAGAUUGCUUCGGUGGUUCAAAUCCGCCUCCAUCCACCA
rnacentral:tRNA from 1 species